GACGAACGCUGGCGGCGUGCUUAACACAUGCAAGUCGAACGGAAAGGCCCUGCUUUUGUGGGGUGCUCGAGUGGCGAACGGGUGAGUAACACGUGAGUAACCUGCCCUUGACUUUGGGAUAACUUCAGGAAACUGGGGCUAAUACCGGAUAGGAGCUCCUGCUGCAUGGUGGGGGUUGGAAAGUUUCGGCGGUUGGGGAUGGACUCGCGGCUUAUCAGCUUGUUGGUGGGGUAGUGGCUUACCAAGGCUUUGACGGGUAGCCGGCCUGAGAGGGUGACCGGCCACAUUGGGACUGAGAUACGGCCCAGACGCCUACGGGAGGCAGCAGUGGGGAAUAUUGCACAAUGGGCGGAAGCCUGAGGCAGCAACGCCGCGUGCGGGAUGACGGCCUUCGGGUUGUAAACCGAUUUCGCCUGUGACGAAGCGUGAGUGACGGUAAUGGGUAAAGAAGUACCGGCUAACUACGUG
rnacentral:rRNA from 1 species